GUCCACGCCGUAAACGAUGGAUGCUAGUCGUCGCGGGUAUUGACCCCUGCGGUAACGCAGUUAACGCAUUAAGCAUCCCGCCUGGGGAGUACGGCCGCAAGGCUAAAACUCAAAGGAAUUGACGGGGGCCCCGCACAAGCGGUGGAGCAUGUGGUUCAAUUCGACGCAACGCGCAGAACCUUACCUGGGUUAAAUCCACCGGAACUCCGCAGAGAUGUGGAGGUGCCCGCAAGGGAGCCGGUGAGAAGGUGCUGCAUGGCUGUCGU
rnacentral:rRNA from 1 species